rnacentral:lncRNA from 1 species
UUAAAAUACAAGUCGAUAAAAAGAGAAAGACGUAAGAAGAGGAGGAACCCACCAUUUUUCCCUAUCUCUCUUUCUCUUUCUUAAAGAGUCUUUUUUUUGAUUGAGAGGGAGAUGGAGGUUGGAUCUUUGGCGUGUGUGUGUGUGUGUGAGAGAGAGAGAGAAGAGUGAGCUUUGAUUUGCAAAAGAAAGAGUGAUAACUGGCUGUGGAUUUAAAGAGCGACGCAGGGGGAGAGAGAAGAAAAGAGAGAAGGAAAGAAAGAAAGGUCCAAACUUUGGGACAAGAACGGUAUGGCGUAUGGACCCAUUAGAAAAUGACUUUGAAUCCUUUUUUAUGCUCUUCCUUUGUGUUAUAGGAAUUCUUUCUUUUUUUCCCUUUUUUUUCUUUCUCUAAUUCUUAUUUGCUUUUACGUUUGUUGGUCCAAUUUGAUUAUUAGUGAUAUUAUGAUAUUGUUGCCCACAGGAAAUUUGGCAGAGCUACUAAUU